GGGAAAGUUGAAAAGAACUCUGAAUAGAGAGUUAAAUAGUACGUGAAACUGCUUAGAGGUUAAGCCCGAUGAACCUGAAUAUCCAUUAUGAAAAAUUCAUCAUUAUACCUGUAAUAAUUAAUUUUAUUAUAGUGAUAGUGUGCAUUUUUUUCAUAUAAGGACAUUGUAAUCUAUUAACAUAAUAAAAUAUUUAUCAAAAGAUCAUUGGUUUUAAGUUUAUUUCAAUUAAUUUGCUUUUUUAGCUUAUUAACAUAAAAUAAUUACUAAUGAUUUGAUAAAGUGUUGAUAGAUUUUAUUAUAUAUAAUGCUUAAAUUCUUUUGAAUUUUACAAUAAUUUUAAAUUCUAUGAUUUUAAUAUUUAUUGUAUGCAUUUAUAUGAUUUACAAUGCGAAAGAUUCAGGAUACCUUCGGGACCCGUCUUGAAACACGGACCAAGGAGUCUAACAUAUGUGCAAGUCAUUGGGUUAUUUUAAACCUAAUGGCGUAAUUAACUUAACUAUUCAUAUUUUAAUGGGAUUAGUUUUUAGUCUAUUUUUAUUAAUAGUCUAUUAAUUCAAUCCCGGGGCGUUCCAUAUAGUUAUGUAUAAUGAUAAUUUAUUAUUAUUUAUACCUCUAACUGGAGCGUACCUUGAGCAUAUAUGCUGUGACC
rnacentral:rRNA from 1 species